AUUGAACGCUGGCGGCAUGCUUUACACAUGCAAGUCGAACGGUAACAGGUUAAGCUGACGCGUGGCGAACGGGUGAGUAAUGCAUCGGAACGUGCCCGGGCGUGGGGGAUAACACUUCGAAAGAAGUGCUAAUACUGCAUACGAUCUGAGGAUGAAAGCGGGGGACCGUAAGGCCUCGCGCGAUCGGAGCGGCCGAUGUCAGAUUAGGUAGUUGGUGGGGUAAAGGCGCACCAAGCCGACGAACUGUAGCUGGUCUGAGAGGACGACCAGCCACAAUGGGGCUGAGACACGGACCAGACGCCUACGGGAGGCAGCAGUGGGGAAUUGUGGACAAUGGGCGAAAGCCUGAUCCAGCAAUGCCGCGUGCAGGAAGAAGGCCUUCGGGUUGUAAACUGCUUUUGUACGGAGCGAAAAGGCUCUCUCUAAUACAGGGGGCUCAUGGCGGUACCGUAAGAAUAAGCACCGGCUAACUACGUGCCAGCAGCCGCGGUAA
rnacentral:rRNA from 1 species